rnacentral:rRNA from 1 species
GACGAACGCUGGCGGCGUGCUUAACACAUGCAAGUCGAACGGUGAAAGCGGAGCUUGCUCCGCUGGAUCAGUGGCGAACGGGUGAGUAACACGUGAGCAACUUGCCCCUCACUUCGGGAUAACUCCGGGAAACCGGGGCUAAUACCGGAUAUGACCUCCUUGGGCAUCCUUGGAGGUGGAAAGUUUUUCGGUGAGGGAUGGGCCCGCGGCCUAUCAGCUUGUUGGUGAGGUAGUGGCUCACCAAGGCGACGACGGGUAGCCGGCCUGAGAGGGCGACCGGCCACACUGGGACUGAGACACGGCCGAGACUCCUACGGGAGGCAGCAGUGGGGAAUAUUGCGCAAUGGGCGAAAGCCUGACGCAGCAACGCCGCGUGCGGGAUGACGGCCCUCGGGUUGUAAACCGCUUUCAGCAGGGAAGAAGCCGCAAGGUGACGGUACCUGCAGAAGAAGCACCGGCUAACUACGUGCCAGCAGCCGCAGUAA